GUCCGUAUAGCUCAAUCGGUAGAGCGUGAGAUUUGGUAGCUCGAGGUUGCAGGUUCAAAUCCUGUUAUGGAUU